GGGCCCGCGAAAUUAAAGAGAGCUGAGGAUGCCAAGGCCAGUCUGCAGCGGUCGUCGCUCACGUUCCCGGCGACGGGGUUUGUACGCCGCGGGCACCCGUCGCAGCGCGCUUCCGCCUUCUUUCACCUGUGAGGUCGGCCGCCGCCGUGACUCCGGAAGGACUCGGCCGGGCCGCCGGAUGUGACGCAGGGGCCAGGGCGCGUCGGAGCCGCUGAGAAAGCGCAGAGAAGGCGGGCCCCGUCUGAGGUCUGGCAGUCAGAGACAGCCGGGCGCCCACGGCCCGAGCGCCCACGGCAGCACCAUGCCCGCACUCCUGGAGCGCCCCAAGCUUUCCAACGCCAUGGCCAGGGCGCUGCACCGGCACAUUAUGAUGGAGCGGGAGCGCAAGCGGCAGGGUGAGCCGGGGCCAUAGCAGGGGGACGCACGGCCCAGAAUGGCUCCUGUACCUCAAGGCUGGCCUCAACCCACCGGCCAACCAGCGCGCCCGCUGCCGAGCGCAGAGGAGGGAAGGAAUUAUAGCCCCGUUGUGGUGGGAUUUAAGCGUCCUGUUCCAUGCUCCAGAACCCUUGAGAUGGGAAGGACCUUGGAGAGCACCUGAUAAAGCCUUUCCGUUCCCUAUUGCCGCGAUGGGGAGCUUGUCCCCUCGAGGCAAAGAGCACACAGGCGUGUUGGGAUGACUGGGUUUUGCUGGUCUUCAAUCUGUAACGUUGGAAUUGUUUUCACUACCCUGCCUCUUCUUCAUUCUGCCUGAUUCUCCAGAGGAAGAAGAGGUGGAUAAGAUGAUGGAACAGAAGAUGAAGGAAGAACAGGAGAGAAGAAAGAAAAAGGAGAUGGAAGAGAGAAUGUCACUAGAGGAGACCAAGGAACAAAUUCUGAAGUUGGAGGAGAAGCUUUUGGCCCUACAGGAAGAGAAGCACCAGCUUUUCCUGCAGCUCAAGAAAGUUUUACAUGAGGAAGAAAAACGGAGGCGAAAGGAACAGAGUGACCUGACCACCCUGACAUCAGCUGCAUACCAGCAGAGCCUGACUGUUCACACAGGAACUCAUCUCCUCAGCAUGCAGGGGAGCCCUGGAGGACACAAUCGCCCAGGCACCCUCAUGGCAGCUGACAGAGCCAAACAAAUGUUUGGACCCCAAGUGCUUACGGUGAGAGUAGGAUUGGAUGCCUAGCCCCUAGUACUUCCAUCCAUGCAUCCUUGCCACCAGUAUUCAAGUCACAAACAUAUCAAGCACUUAAGUUUAGGGGGAAACGGGGCAUACAGAUACACACAAGUCACUGGGUUUCAGCUUUCAAGGAGUUUGUAGGCGAGUUCUCAUUCUCCUUCCUUAGACCCGGCACUACGUGGGCUCAGCAGCUGCUUUUGCAGGGACACCAGAGCAUGGACAAUUCCAAGGCAGUCCUGGUGGUGCCUAUGGGACUGCUCAGCCCCCACCUCACUAUGGGCCCACACAGCCAGCUUAUAGUCCUAGUCAGCAGCUCAGAGCUCCUUCGGCGUUCCCUGCAGUGCAGUACCUAUCUCAGCCACAGCCACAGCCCUAUGCUGUGCAUGGCCACUUUCAGCCCACUCAGACAGGUUUCCUCCAGCCUGGUGGUGCCCUGUCCUUGCAAAAGCAGAUGGAACAUGCUAACCAGCAGACUGGCUUCUCCGACUCAGUGAGUAUGGCACCUUGGGAGGUCAGGGUUAGGGAUAUGUUAAGGGGAGCUUCAGUAUGCCUCAGGCCCUGACUCUGUUCUCUGCAGUCCUCUCUGCGCCCCAUGCACCCCCAGGCUCUGCAUCCAGCCCCUGGACUCCUUGCUUCCCCCCAGCUCCCUGUGCAGAUGCAGCCAGCAGGAAAGUCGGGCUUUGCAGCUACCAGCCAACCUGGCCCUCGGCUCCCCUUCAUCCAACACAGCCAGAACCCGCGAUUCUACCACAAGUGACCAUCAGAUUAUAUCUUCAACACCACACCCCCCACCCCAUCGUGGGUGAGGGUACCCCCU
rnacentral:sRNA from 1 species